rnacentral:rRNA from 1 species
ACACGUAGGGGGCAAGCGUUGUCCGGAAUUACUGGGCGUAAAGGGUGCGUAGGCGGCUUUUUAAGUCGGGUGUGAAAUAUCAUGGCUCAACCAUGGAAGUGCACUCGAAACUGGAAAGCUAGAGGUCAAGUAAGGGAGACGGAAUUGCCAGUGUAGGGGUGAAAUCCGUAGAUAUUGGCAAGAACGCCAGUGGUGAAGACGGUCUCCUGUACUGAUACUGACGCUGAGGCACGAAAGCUAGGGGAGCGAACGGGAUUAGAUACCCUAGUAGUCC